rnacentral:rRNA from 1 species
CGAAUGCUAAUACCGCAUAAAACUUAAACACAAGUUUAAGUUUGAAAGAUGCAAUUGCAUCACUCAAAGAUGAUCCCGCGUUGUAUUAGCUAGUUGGUGAGGUAAAGGCUCACCAAGGCGAUGAUACAUAGCCGACCUGAGAGGGUGAUCGGCCACAUUGGGACUGAGACACGGCCCAAACUCCUACGGGAGGCAGCAUG